rnacentral:rRNA from 1 species
UACGGAAGGUCCGGGCGUUAUCCGGAUUUAUUGGGUUUAAAGGGAGCGUAGGCCGGAGAUUAAGCGUGUUGUGAAAUGUAGACGCUCAACGUCUGCACUGCAGCGCGAACUGGUUUUCUUGAGUACGCACAAAGUGGGCGGAAUUCGUGGUGUAGCGGUGAAAUGCUUAGAUAUCACGAAGAACUCCGAUUGCGAAGGCAGCUCACUGGAGCGCAACUGACGCUGAAGCUCGAAAGUGCGGGUAUCGAACAGG